GACGAACGCUGGCGGCGUGCUUAACACAUGCAAGUCGAGCGGAGCGGCGAACGGGUGAGUAACGCGUGAGUAACUGCCCCCCUCUCUGGGAUCACAGUUGGAAACGGCUGCUAAUACCGGAUAGUGGGGGAUGACUCGCGGCCUCUCGGCUUGUUGGUGGGGUAGUGGCCUACCAAGGCGACGACGGGUAGCCGGCCUGCGAGGGCGAACGGCCACAUUGGGCUGAGGUACGGCCCAAACUCCUACGGGAGGCAGCAGUGGGGAAUAUUGCACAAUGGGGGAAAGCCUGAUGCAGCAACGCCGGGUGCGGGAUGACGGCCUUCGGGUUGUAAACCGCUUUCAGCCAUGACGCGGUAGUGGCAGAAGAAGCACCGGCUAACUACGUGCCAGCAGCCGCGGUAAUAC
rnacentral:rRNA from 1 species